AGAGUUAAAAAGUACGUGAAACCGUUAAAAGGGAAGCAAAUGGCACUAGCAUUUGUACCUGUCAUAAUCAAUCAAAUGUCUUGAAGCCGUGCUGCGUAGGGAGUGUCAAAACCUCUUGUGGUACGUUCGGAGAGUUCAUUUGGUGCACUUGUGGCUGGUACAGGUCAACAUCAGUUCGGACUGGGACACACGCUCGGCAGGAAGGUGGCUUGCAGCUUCGGUUGUAAGUGUUAUAGCCUGUCGUGAAUGUUCCGGGCUGGACUGAGGAGUCGCAGGUCGUGCCUCUGGCUAGUUCCCUGGCCUCUGGUAUAGCAGUUCUGUUCCACUUGCAUAAGUAAGUAGUGCGGAGCCACGCGGUGCCACCGGUUAGGUGUAACAUAAACGACCUUCGGAUGUUGACGAAAUGGUGUUAUCUGACC
rnacentral:rRNA from 1 species